rnacentral:lncRNA from 1 species
AUGCCACCCUCCCGUCAGCACAACAGACUGGCACAGGCAAGGGCCAGGAAGCACUCAGCCUCUUCAGCUGUGGGCCCAGACACAGAACCCAAACGGUGCGUGGGGAACCCGCAUGAGGAUGGAACCCCAUUCGAGGGCAGUAAUGAGAAACACGAGGUCCACUCCAUUAAGAUAAGAAGGACGUGUGUGUGUAUAGGUCUGUGCACCCCCACACGGGCACAUACACCCGGCCUGCGUCUGCGGCCCCUCCAGCCUGCUGAGUUCUGCAGGGCCGAGCAGCCCCCACGGAUCGGGGCCGUCCAUGACUUGGGGACCCUCCAUCUGGUCCUGGGCACUCACAUGGCUUGUUCUGUAGAACCACCCCCACCCCCCAAAAUCCAGGCUCCAAGCAAGCGCCUGGGAUGCUCAGGCCAUUGUUCAAGACGGCUAGAUGCCCACAGGAAGAAAGCAGGGUCACAAGGCAAGGCAGACGGCUUGCUGGCCUGGCCAGGUGCAGUCCGAAUUCCUGAGACGUCCCUGAUCGCUCCCUCCAGGGCCUUGGCUGUGACACAGGCCUGUCUCCUCUCCGGCCCGGGAGGAGAUGGCGGGUUCCUUGCACCCAGGCUAGAAAACCUACCCCCCCCCAGCCCUGGGGCUCGCAGCCUGUGUGGGCUCACAAACCCUCAGAGGGAGAUUUUGUGCGAGAACUUCCAAAAUGUGUCCAGGAGCAGCGGCUUCCCAAACCCACAAGGGUGUCCAACCGAGAAGGAUGAGUCCGUCAGUUCCCGAGCAGGACAGGACCGCAAGCUUGUUAGGUCGUUUGACAAGGUACACGCGGGAAUGUACACGCAGAAGACAGUCAUGAGCACAGAACCCCUGACAGGGACCCCCAGGGUCCUGACUCCAGGUGACGGAGGCCGAAGAGUCAGGGGAAUGUUUCUUCAUUCCAAGGCCUCAACCCAUCUGCUGGGCUGGUCCCCGUGGCCAGACGGGUUGUCUGCGUGGAAGGAAGGGUGGUUGGGGUCCGUGCUCUCGGCCAGGCGGAUGUAG